rnacentral:rRNA from 1 species
AAAGCCUGAUGCAGCGACGCCGCGUGAGGGAUGACGGCCUUCGGGUUGUAAACCUCUUUCAGGCAGGGAAGAAGCGAGAGUGACGGUACCUGCAGAAGAAGCGCCGGCUAACUACGUGCCAGCAGCCGCGGUAAUACGUAGGGCGCAAGCGUUGUCCGGAAUUAUUGGGCGUAAAGAGCUCGUAGGCGGCUUGUUGCGUCGGUUGUGAAAGCCCGGGGCUUAACCCCGGGUCUGCAGUCGAUACGGGCAGGCUAGAGUGUGGUAGGGGAGAUCGGAAUUCCUGGUGUAGCGGUGAAAUGCGCAGAUAUCAGGAGGAACACCGGUGGCGAAGGCGGAUCUCUGGGCCAUUACUGACGCUGAGGAGCGAAAGCGUGGGGAGCGAACAGGAUUAGAUACCCUGGUAGUCCACGCCGUAAACGUUGGGAACUAGGUGUUGGCGACAUUCCACGUCGUCGGUGCCGCAGCUAACGCAUUAAGUUCCCCGCCUGGGGAGUACGGCCGCAAGGCUA